GGCUUUGAUUUGAUGGUUUCACAGAAGCACACUUCCAUGUCAGACGUGUUUGACUUUGAGCAACGUCCUUAAAUAUUCAUGAGAUGAUGCAACGUCUGCCGCGUGCGCUUCUUAAUGUAUUAUUAUUCAGUUUUUAAAUAUGAUUAGUGUGUAUGAGUUUAUUAAUGUUCACUGAGAUCAUUUAAAUAGAGUUGUUGUGUGUUCGUGAAAUGUUGAAUCAUGCUGAGCGCGUGACUGCGCCUGCGCGCGCGACCCACGUGCUUUGUCCCGGCAGGCGCAUGCUCGAGCGAGCGAACAUGGCGACGCGCUGCACGUCUCGCGUUACCGGACAGUGAGACACGCCGAGAGAGAGAAAAGGAGAAACGGUUUUGUCAGUAGGUGCUGCCUCUCGAUGCAGAUGCUCCGGGUGAAAUGAAUAAGGCACCUCAGCCUCUGUCAGGACCCCCCUCCGCCCCGCUUCCCGCACCCUCCCCGGGUCUGUCCCAGCCCAGUUUUCCUCCUGCUCCGGUUGUGUUCGGCACCCCUCCCCCACAGAUGAACCCCGCCGCCCAACCCCGACAGUUUGCCUCAGGUCCUAGAGCUUUACCACAACAGGGAGGAUUCAGGUCACUGCAGGUAACACUUUUCUUACCCUUCACAAAAAUCUUUCUUUAAAAUCAAUAUGAAAAACUUUCAUAAUAUGAUAAGUUAAACAGCACACUUGUGUUUCAUCCUCAAGGAAUUAAACGUGAGCUUCAUUCAUAGGGCUGGGUUUUGACACCGAUUUCACGAUUUGA